UUUAGUUCAUCAAAUAAUAAAAAUCAGCAAUCAAUUGAAUUCAAUCCAAAUUGUACAUAAAAUUUCAUCAAAUAACAUGUGAGUACACACUUUUUCUAGCACCCACGUAUAAUUGAAGCAUAAAGCAUCUAGCACAAGUAUUAAACAUCAAACAUGUUUAAAUGUCCUAUAACUUAAAUCCAAUAGCAAGUAGAACAAAUCCUUGAUCACAUUCUUCUUGUUGCAAUGCAUCUCUUGGGUAUCUUUAUAUUUUUCUUGCCACUGAAAAGAUAUCAAAUGUAUUUAGCGAGCAUGUAGAUCAAAACAUAAGUUGCAGGUUGGUUUAGAAAGAAUUGAAAAAGCUUAUAAGGCAUAUAUAUAAAGGACUCAAUAAAUACCAUGUAGUAUUCUAGAGAUGCUGACUAAUGAUCAUCAUUUUAGUUUCAAAUGUGGUUUGAAUCCAUAGAGUUUCAAUACUCCAUCUUCGAAUUUAGUUUAAAAACUCUAAGAUAGGAAACGAACAACAUAUAUAUUAUCAUCGAUCUCAAUAUCUCUCAAAUUUUUUGCCAAUGAUUUAGGCUAUUUCAAACAUGUAAGACACAAUCAAUGGGAAACAAUUAUAGUUAAGCUUUGUAUUGUAAUUACAAGGAGCCAAAAUACAAUGAUAUCCUUAAUUGCAAAAAAAUAUACCAAUAAAUUUUGGUGUUAAAUGAAUGGAUAGACCAAAUACACAUCAUGACGGUGAGCAAAUGUUAUUUUUGUUUGUUCCCAUUUGACAGAAAGUCAUAUCCAAUGCCUUGUUCACAUCGAUAAGGUUUGGGGUGCUAUAACGAUGGCUAAGUGAGGUGCUAAGUGAGGUGAUAUAAGCUCACGAUACGCAAACGCAAAAUUCAACUAAUGGAUUGCAAAAUUCAAAUUAAUAAGGGUCAUGGGCAAAUGCAGCUAAUAAACAAAUGUGGUAUUGUUUUAGUUAACAUACAACAACGUUUUGGAAGUUAACUUACAGCUCUUCUUUGCACUUGCAGCAUUUUUCAGUACCUUACACACAGCAUGAGCUAAAAAGUAAAAACCAUCAAGACCAAUACUUUCUUUGGAAGUUUGAAUAAAAAUUAUGUAGUCCAAUUAACAGUUUUCUAAUAUUGUAACUUAAUUGAAUAUUUAUGACCUGAUGAGAACUCCAACUCUUCACACUACAUUUUUCCCUUGGCACGGGUGAAGGUGAUGGGGCCGCGUGUGGCACAGGCGGAUGCAACGGGGCACGCGUGUGAAAGUUGCCUAGAGGGAUCAAGCUGAAGGCCAAAAUAGUGGUGGCAUUGGAAAAGAUAGAACAAACAGACCAAUCAUGUUGACAACACCGAGUAAUCAGGUGCUUCUGAACAUUUUUAAGCUAAUAACAAAAUAUCAAUACAUGAAUGCAGAUGGCUUGAUUACAGGUUUAGCCAAAAAAUAAUUUCAAAGGGCAUCAACAUUUUUUGUAAAAUGUUACAAAUCCUACUUGUCUGCUCCUUUGGAUUAAAGAAGAAAUUGACCAUCUUCAUCCUGCAGAAUUACAGUCAUUCAUUUUAUUUUGCUACUUAAUUCCAAUAGAUUGAGAAUCUUGAACUCGCUGAAAUCAUACUCAAGCAAUACACCAAAAUAUAAUAAUAAGGAUAAGGAAUAAAUACGCGCAAAUGGAAUAACAAAUAUUGUUGAGCAACGUGUGGAAGCAACUAUUGGGUGAGAUGUCGUUAUACCUAGGGUGAUGAUCGAGUCAGGCUAGCAGGACUAUGGCGGGUCAGUGCAGUGGCGACGUGGUGCGGUGCAGGAAGACCUGCAGCGACUAGGAGACAAGCAUCUUCUCUGCAAAAAAAGGAACACAAGUCUAUUAACUCAAAAAAAAUACAACAUACAGUUUAUCCGCUUGCCAGGACAGUAACUCAUAUUUUGAUGUAACAUUACAAGUUUGCAAUGUUAAUAUUUUGAUACUUAGAAUUUUAGUAAAAUCUAAUCAUCCCUUUCUACCAAGACUAUACUCUCCAGGAAUCCAACCCUUGCCCUUUUUCUUAUUGUAGAACAUGUGAUCAAAUUGAGGUCACCCAAUGGAUACAAUCAGGUCAACAAACUUCAAACGCACUUCAAAUGCAAAACUAAUAAAAAAGUAACUGCCUCUUGGCAGCUAUCGCACGGUGUGUAACCGUGUAUUAUCAAGAGUUGCUAGCACCUUCACUUUGUGACUACUAAGGUUCUACCAUCGCCACAAUAUUUUAGCAAUGUGGCUACUAAGGUUCUACCAUCGCCACAAUCCAUGUCAAUAUUUAUUCUACUAAGGUUCUCACCUUAGGGUCGGGACUUUAACCACCAUCGAUCUACUAUGUAGGGAAUGGGUCGCGGAUCCGGGGUGACCUCGGGGCGGGGCGGGGCGUGGGGUCUCCGGUGCAGUGGCAUGCAUGAGCCAGUGACCAUCGCUGUGGAGAACGAAGCUGGUGACGGGGCUUGGCCAGAGAAUAGUGUGAAGAACGAAGUCGACGAUGGGGCUUGGCCGGAGCAGCGGUCGCGGGGCCAUCGAGGACGAGGCAAGCGACAACGAAAUUUGGACGGACAGGCUCGGCGUAGAGAUGGCAAUGGGGACCCGAUCCCCGAUUCCCCGUGGGGAAUUCCUCUAUUAGGGGAUGGGGAUAGGGAAGUUUCUUCCCCCACGGGGAUGUAAAUGGGGAAAAGUUCUCCCCCGACGGGUAAACGGGGACGGGGAUGGGG
rnacentral:lncRNA from 1 species